GACGAACGCUGGCGGCGUGCCUAACACAUGCAAGUCGAACGGAAAGGCCCUGCGUUUGUGGGGUGCUCGAGUGGCGAACGGGUGAGUAACACGUGAGUAACCUGCCCCUGACUUUGGGAUAACUUCAGGAAACUGGGGCUAAUACCGGAUAGGAGCUCCUGCUGCAUGUGGGGGGUUGGAAAGUUUCGGCGGUUGGGGAUGGAUUCGCGGCUUAUCAGCUUGUUGGUGGGGUAGUGGCUUACCAAGGCUUUGACGGGUAGCCGGCCUGAGAGGGUGACCGGCCACAAUGGGACUGAGAUACGGACCAGACUCCUACGGGAGGCAGCAGUGGAGAGUCUUGCGCAAUGAGCGGGAGCCUGAUGCAGCAACGCCGCGUGCGGGAUGACGGCCUUCGGGUUGUGAACCGCUUUCGCCUGUGACGAAGCGUGAGUGACGGUAAUGGGUAAAGAAGCACCGGCUAACUACGUG
rnacentral:rRNA from 1 species